UUGUCAGAACCUGCCCAGCAGAACGACCCGUGAACAUGUGAACUCAAUCGGGGUACGAGCCCCUCGUUGGGGGAUGUGUUCGCGCGCAUUCCCCGACUGAACAACGAACCCCGGCGCAAUCUGCGCCAAGGAAAUCAGGACAAAGAACGGGCCUACCCAUCCCCCGUUUGCGGGGUGCGUGGGAGGCAGCGAUUCUCUUUAGCAAAACAAAACGACUCUCGGCAACGGAUAUCUCGGCUCUCGCAUCGAUGAAGAACGUAGCGAAAUGCGAUACUUGGUGUGAAUUGCAGAAUCCCGUGAACCAUCGAGUCUUUGAACGCAAGUUGCGCCCGAAGCCAUUAGGCCGAGGGCACGUCUGCCUGGGCGUCUCGCAUCGCGUCGCCCCCACCCACGCCCAGAGGCGGGGGGGUUGGGGGCGGAUACUGGCCUCCCGUGACGAGAGUCCACGGCUGGCCUAAAAAUGAGUCCCCCGCGACGAAUGUCACGACAAGUGGUGGUUGAAUGGCCUCGGGCCUCAGUUGCGUCCUGUCGUGCGUUCAUCCGUUGCGGUGCGGAACCUCUAAUGACCCUGAUGUGCCGUUACACCCGGUGCUCCGACCGCGACCCCA
rnacentral:rRNA from 2 species